rnacentral:rRNA from 1 species
CGGAAGGUCCGGGCGUUAUCCGGAUUUAUUGGGUUUAAAGGGAGCGUAGGCCGGAGAUUAAGCGUGUUGUGAAAUGUAGAUGCUCAACAUCUGCACUGCAGCGCGAACUGGUUUCCUUGAGUACGCACAAAGUGGGCGGAAUUCGUGGUGUAGCGGUGAAAUGCUUAGAUAUCACGAAGAACUCCGAUUGCGAAGGCAGCUCACUGGAGCGCAACUGACGCUGAAGCUCGAAAGUGCGGGUAUCGA